AUCUUUCCAGAAUUCCAUGGAGAUACUGAACAGACACAGAGAGCAGAGCGGAUGUGGCAAGAGGAAGAGGAAGAGAGAGGAGACUUCGGAAGGAGUGGAGUCAUUCUGGGAAGAGGGAAUGUUGAGAAGGGCACAGCUUUGAGAAGCCUGUGCAAGGGCUAGGGGAUGGGGCAGGGACAAGAGAUAGGGGUGUGCUGACGGCAGCUCCUGGGUUUCUGGCUGUGCUGAGCAGAGAAAAUAUGAAGGAGACGCAGGCUUGGGAGAAGAUGGACACUUCAGUUGUUGAUGUGUUAAGUGGGAGGUGCUGUUUAUACCACUGAAUGGACUUCUCAAGGGAGCAAGUAGGUAAACAGUUGGCCCUCCGUAUCCACAGGUUCCAUAUCUAUGAAUUCAGCCAACCUCAGAUCACACAAAUAAAAAACAAUACAAUGAAACAACUAUUUAUAUAGUAGCAUUUACAUUGUAUUAAGUAUUGUAGGUAAUCUAGAGAUGAUUUAAAGUAUAUGGGAGGAUGUAUACAGCUUGUAUGCAAAUACCAUCGAGGGAAGAGAGAGACCCUCUCAUAUUGUUUUAUAUUGUUUUAUACUCAGUACCUGUUCUAAAAAAAAAAAAAAACAAGGAAGUGAAAUCAAAGACAGGCAGCCCGGCACCAGGCUCAAAACCAGGCCUGGGCCUGCCUGGCCUAAACCUAGUAGUUAAGAAUCAACUCAUGACUUAGAACCCAAUGUUACCCAUAGAUUUCAGGCAUUGUAUGGAAGAACAUUGUGAAACUCCCUGCUCUGUUCUCUUUCACUCUGACCACCAGUGCAUGCAGCCCGUCACGUACCCCCUGCUUGCUCAAAUCAAUCACGACCCUUUCAUGUGAAAUCCUUAGAGUUGUGAGCCCUUAAAAGGGACAGGAAUUACUCACUCGGGGAGCUCGGAUUUUGAGACAGUAGCUUGCAGAUGCUCCCAGCUGAAUAAAGCCCUUCCUUCUACAACUCGGUGUCUGAGAGGUUUUGUCUGCGGCUCGUCCUGCUACA
rnacentral:lncRNA from 1 species